rnacentral:lncRNA from 1 species
ACAUAAUAAUGCUAAUACAUAUAUGCGUAGUGCAAUGUAUAUACAUCAAAUGAAUAUAUAUAACAUAAAAAUACAUUAAUAAAAAACAAUAAUAUUAAACUAUUAAUAAUACUGUAUAACAUAUAUACAUAAGUAUUAAAUAAAGGUGGGACGAAAUUGGGUUGAAAGCAGAAUCUUAGUGUAAGGCCCAAAUUAUGCCCGGGCCCAGACCACAAGAAUAAACCAAGAAAAAACAAAAAUAAUUAACGGCCCAUCUAAUGUCCAUUUACAGUUCAAAUCAUUACAAUGUCCACAAGUCCACUUACAAUAUUAAACAACCCCAAACCCAGCUGCAUAACCCAAGACCCAAUUAAGAUCCAAUAGCUAAAACCCUAACCCAAAACCCGGACGGCCCAAUAGGCCCAAUGCCUAAAACAAGAGUCAAGGCAACAAACCCUAGCCCCAUUCGCUCAGCGCCGCAACGACCCCAGCCCCAGCAGCCUCCGUACACAGUACGCCGUACUCCUCCACGCCAAGCUGCGCCAACUGGCCUCCGUACCUGCAAAGAAACAGACAAACACAACAGCAAGGACAAGCAAAAACAAAAAGUAGCAGUAGAGAAAAAUAACAGAAAAUGAAAUUAUUUGUAUUUUUUCUUCUGAUUUUCGGCUAUAUAAAAGCCUUAUUUUCAUUGUAGGUGGAGAGAAUAGAUACUCAUAUUGAAUAGAGAGUUCAAAAGCAAUUUUUUGGGAAGGUGAUUUUCGAUUUAAAUCUCUGUGUAUUUUUUUUGUUUGUUUUUCAUUCUUUUGGGUUCAUAGUUUUAAUGUUUGAAAGAAAAUAAAAAGAGGAGAAAGAAGUUCUUACCUGGAAAAUAUGCCAUAAACCUCCUUUUUGCUUUGUUUGAAUCGAAGCCAAGAAGAGAUUUGAAGGCUGAAAGAUCAUUCCCCAUGCUUGAAUAUGUAGCUUAGUGUUUGAGAGAGGGAGAGAAUCGGCCAAAUGAGGGGAAAGUAUGGGGUAUUAGGUUUUCUGCCUUAAUUGUGGCUUGAAGAAAUGGCAAUUGCCAUUCAAUUUCCUGCCACUUUGAAAUAAAUUGAAACGGUGGUGUUUAAGGGUGGGGGCCACGUGUUGACUUAUGUCAUGACUCAAUUUGUGCAUUUGUAUGCCAAAUGGGAAAUUUCCACGAUUAAUCCCUCGCUUUUUGCACCAAAUUUCAGCAGACCCCAUUGGCACCCAUGUGUUUUAUUUUAAUUUUUCCCCAAAAAUUUGUACACUAUUUCAUUUUAGUUCGCUCCAAGGUGUUGCGUUUCGGGGGGUCCGGAUUAUUUUCAUUUAGUCCCUGCGCAUUCGCACUUGUUACAAGCUGACCCCUUUGUCAUUUUGGCAGUUGUUUCCAUUUAUACUUUGUCCCUCUUGUUUUAAUUCUCUUUUAAUUGAGACCCUCCUCUUUAUUUAUUCAUUUUAUGGCUUAUUAUCAUUUUUUUAAGAUGCAUUCAAUAUUUUUUUUAUCCUUGUUUACUUAUUUUUCUUUAUAUAUUUUAAUGAUUUGAUUUCGUCUUUUUUUUACAUACACUACUGUGUAUACAUAUAUACUUUAUAUUAAAUUCAUUUUUCUUUAUUUCAUAUAUAUAUAUUAACCUUAUAUUAUUUAUACAUAUGGCUUCUUUUUUUAGUUUAUUCUUAUAUUUUAUUAUGUAGUUCAACGUAAUAUAUCUCUUAAAUUAUUAUCAUACAUAUGUACAUAUUUAAGUUCUAGCCAUUUUUCCAUAUUAAUUUAAAAUUUGUCGUAUCAUUCACUUUUAAAUUAUUUUAUUAUUAAUCUAAGGUUUUCAUAUAUUAUUUAUUUUAGAUACAUACUACUUGUUUUGUGUUGUUACAUAUUUUCCCAUUUUAAAACUUGAUGUAUCCUUAAAAUCGUUUUAUCAUUCAUUUAAAAAAAAUUCAUAUAUUUUUAUAUACAUAUUUAUAUUUUAUCCUCAUAUUCGAUCCUUUUAUAUAUAUGCUGUAUAUGUCAUUUAAAUUAUUAUUAUUUUUAUGUAUAUGGUCAUUUUUAACUAGAUACUCUUUUAAAAAAAAAACAUACUUUGUACAUAUGAGCAUAUUUUUUUAUAUAUUAAAGUUAACUUAUUUCGUAUAUAUAUUAUUAACCUUAUAUUAUUUUAUACACAUGAUUUCUCAAAUUUUUCUUGUAUUUCGUUAUAUAGUCCUACGUAAUAUAUCUUCUAAGUAAUCAUUAUUUAUGUAUGUAUAUUUAUUGAUACCUACAUUUGAUCUAUAUAUAUUAUUAAAUCCAUGUGUUUCAUACAUAUAGUCUUCUUUGUAUAUAUAAGCAUGUUCUUAAGUCCAUUAUACAAUUUGUUAUAAAUUUAAUUUAAGCUUGUAGGUAUUUCUAUGUCUUUACAAAUAAUUAUUUUUAAAAGUUAUUUAUGUAUAUAUGUUUUGUAAAUCUAUUUAGCGCAUUUUAUCUUGUCAUAUAUCUUUAUUAUUCUUUCAUAUUAUAUAUAUUAUUUAAAUUAUUAUGUACAUUGUCAAUUUUUAAAUGCAUUUGUGUCUAAAAUAUUUUACACGCAAUUUGAUUCAAAUUUUUAUUCUAUAAUAUAUAUUCCAAAAAUCAUAUAGCUAUCCCUAGUUUUCAUGCAAAUUUGUCAACCUAUGUAUAUAGGUCCAUUUAUUCGUUAUUAUUUUAAAACCGUUUUAUAGCACAUUGGCUUCUAAUUGCUAUGUUGUUUUUAUAUCUUGCAUUGGUUAUUUUAUUAUGCCAUGCACAUUAUCGUUGCAUUAUUCAUUGUUUUACAUUGACAUGUUAAUUAUUCUCCAUGCAUAAUGGAAGUUGAGUUAUAUUUUCAAGUUAGUCAUACUUAGUUGCUUAAAUGUUGUUAGUUGAUUAAAUAAAUUGUAUUAUCUUCAUUUCUCCAUUAUCGUAUUUUUAUGCGUACACAUAUUACCCCUUAUCAUCGUUUUCCGCCUGAUUUUUGGAAUGUGUUUUUAUAAAAUCCAAAUUUUAUGAUUAAUUUCGUCUUAUUUCGAAAUAAGUUAAUGUGUUUUAAGCUAGCUUCACAACUAUUAGGAAUUCUUUAAAACGAAAGCGAUGUUCGAUACUUGGUAAUUCGCGAAAUCGUGCCCUAACGUGUUGGGUUGCAAUUUCUCGUUUGCUCAAAGUAAUCGAAGGUCCCUUUAGAAUUUCACUCGUGUCUUCUAAAAAUCCUUUAAAACGAAGGCAAUAUUCGGUGUUUAACAAUUCGGGAAUCAUGCCCUAUCAAGCUGGAUUGUGAUUUCUCGUUUGCUCAAAACAAUCUAAUAUUCCUUUAGGUUUUCAUUCAUGUUUAUUAAAAACCUUUCAAAACGAAGGCGAUGUCCGAUGUUUGGCGGUUUGAAAAUCGAGCCCUAUCAUGCUGGGUUGCGCUUUUUCAUCUGCUCAAAACAAUCGAAGACCCCUUCGAAAUUUCACUCGAGAGGCAAUGUUCAAUGUUCGGAAAUUCGAGGAAUCGUGCCCUACCGUGCUAGGUUUCGGUUUUUCGUGGGACCAAAUAACUGGGCAUCCUUUUGUUAAUUUCAAAUUAUAAAUUUUCGGACGUCGAAACAAAAAGAUUUUUGACAAUCAACUCAGGUUAUUCAACAUUUAUUAAAAAGAGCCACAUUCCAAAAACAUUUUUUUAGACAUAAGGACAGUAUUUAAUUGAUUUGGUACCAAUUUUAGGCGUAGUGAGGGUGCCAAUCCUUCCUCAUGCGUAACCGAAUCCCGAGCCCGUUUUCUAAAAUUUUCAUAGACCAGAGUCGUUGUUCUAGUAAAUCGUAAAUGUUUUAUUAAAAUAACCAAAUUCUUAGGUGAUCCGAUCACACCCAAAACAAAAAGAUCGGUGGCGACUCCUUUAUUCCUGUUUUUUUCAAAAGUCGAUUCCCCCAUUUUUCAUUAAAUUUAAAAUUGUAAAAUUCGAAAAUGGGAUGGUUUCGACAGCUUGGCGACUCCACUGGGGAAUAGAGAGAGUCUAACCAUAAAUUUGAUUAUUUGUUGCCCUUUUGUCAGAAAUUGAAAAUUUGUUUUUUGCAUUCGAUUAUAUGAUCGUUUUGAUGUGGGUCUAGUAGAAUGAUGUUGCAUUGCAUUACAUGACCGCUGUGGUUACACCUUCUAAGUGGGAGUAAGAAACUACGCUUUUGUGAGGUUUUCACCUCCGCAUGGGCUAGUGGAUUGCUUCCGGGGUACAUCCGUACCUAUGAUUUCGUGAGAUUUUCAUCUUCGCAUAGUCAUAGGGAAAUGUAUCCCCUCGAACCGAACUCGAUCUACAUGAGCCUAUAAUGAGUGAGGAUCGAGGAAUCUGCUGGUUCGGGUACCCUUACUCUAGAACCAAGCAACAUAUAGAGAGACCUAGGAGCUUACCCUAGGUAGAGCCACUCCGAACCCCUAGCGAUCACCCGAUUAGGUACUUUGUUGGUUGUUUAUUUCUAUACUAACGUGUUUUAUUUGUUCAUGAUUGCAUUGUAUUACAUCAUCAUAGAAAGGAGGUGUUGAUUCAUAUUCAAUUGCUAAAUAGAACAAUUUGUCAUAAGAAAACAAAUUUCUUAAUAACGCGGAUUACAAUACGGUUGUCCGAAUUUGGUCCAAGUGAACACGACAGAAGAAGGCUAACAGUUCGUGGAGGAAAACAAAACUUUACCUAAGGAUUCAAGCUGAUAAAGAUUAUCCAAAAGCCAUCGCAUCCCGACUUUCUUAAAGGAGCUAAUUAACAUUGCGAUGAUAGUAAUUCGUGGCCUGGAUCAAGUAAAAUGAGCCAGUAGAGGCAUGCAUUGGAAGCUUGCGAGAUUUGACUUUCACGAAGAAAGGGGAUCAGUGCCUUAGUCUCGAAUAUGAAAGCAAGGCCGUAUACGUAAUUCGUUUUAUGAAAAAGAAUUUGUUUUAUAGAAAAGUUGUUCUAGGGGAAUUGAAUUCAAAAUCAACAUCUUCUUUUCCUUUGCAUUCAUCCCAUGCAUUUACAUUGCAUUGCAUCAUUUGCAUUGCAUUGUAUUGCAUCAUUUGCAUUAAAUUUCCCAAAAGGACCCUAAUUAGGUAAAGUUAUUUCAGAACCGACAAAAGAUAUGGACCAAAGGUUUGAGAGAAUGGAGCAAAGGCAAAUACAGAUGCAAGAGCAGUUGAUCGAAAUUCAACAAGAUAUGCGAGAAAUGCUAGAACUCCAAAGAAAUAUGAUGGGCCAGGUAACCCAUUUACUGGCCGGAAAAUUCAAAAAAAGGAAUGGCCCAGUGGUCAAUGGUGGGGAUGAUAUUGAAGAGAUCAUUUACUCCCCAGGCUUUACCCUAAUAAGCGUCCCGACCCAACCAGACAUGCAAGGGGUACCCGCUGUUAUCGGACACCAAUAUCAGACGGAUACAUCAACACUGAUGAGUUUCUCGAUGGGUUCAAGUUUUAACCCGAAAGAUGAUCAAGCCAAGCCAGUUGCUCUGGCAGAAACAAAAGUAAAGGGAGAGCGGACUUUAACGGCCCCGAAAAAGAAAGAAAAGAAGGCAAAUAGUACGAGUAGGUAUAACAAGGGUCGUUCGGAGCCGAUUAUAGCAGGCCGGCCAAGGUCAGUAGCUACCAGCCAUCAGGCCCCCUCAAGGCAAGAACCCAAUCGAAAAUCGAACUCAGAAAAACCCCAAUACACGCCCAUUCCAAUCACAUACGGAGAGUUGUACCGUGUUCUGUUUGACACAUGUGUUGUAUCCCCUUUUUACAUAAAACCAAUACAACCUCCGUACCCUAAAUGGUAUGACGUAAGCAGCCGAUGUGAAUACCAUGCGGGAAUCACGGGGCAUUCUAUUAAAAAUUGUAUCGCUUUUAAGAAGCUAAUCGAAAAAUUUAUUAAAUUGGGUAUUGUGGAAUUUGAUGGUCCCUCUGGAGCGGGAAAUCAGUUAUCCAACCUUUCUGUUAAAUAGGCGAAUGUUAUGAGUUCCAUGCUAGAUUGGGGCACGAGAUUUAAGGGUGCAUCGAGCUCAGGACUCUAAUGCAAAGCCUGGUAUUGGGGAACCCGACCAUCAACGAUGUAUCAGAAGAGGGAACCCGGGAGUAGACUUUUCCAAGCUUCUGUCUUUACGUACUUAGGGUGUUUUGAACAAUAGGACUGUGAAAAGGAUCUUUGUAUUUUUUAGAGCUAAUCUAGAGUAAUAUUCAAAACACACUUGUUGUUUUAAGCCUUGAAGCAAUAAGAAUCCUUUUGUGAAAUAGGCUUAUAUCCAAAAUCUUUAUUUCAAUGAAAUACAUGUUUGAGUAAAUAUUCUUUUAUUCUUUCUAUUUUAUAUGUCUAUUCUUAGAUUCUUUCAUUCAUAAUCAUACCAUACAAAUAAUCAUUCAUAGAAUCAUUUAUUCUUUGAAAUAUGCCUUCGUACCUCUAACAGGUCUCCAGAUAUCAAUGACGUGAGCGACGCUGUCAUUAAUUCCGAGUCUUUUUUUUUAGCAAGAUAUGUGUCUAGAGGGAUCUCAGGACCUUGAAGAUGACAGAGAUAUUGACUUAUUUCCUGAUUUGUUAAGGACGGUAGAACAAGAUGAAAAAACUUAUUCUACUUUACAAAGGGUCAAUAGACAUUGUGAACAAUGGGUAAUGAUUCAAACCAGAGUCACCAUAGGGACAAAAUGAAUUGUCUUUGAGUUACUUCAAGAAAUUUAAAGAUGUUUUCACAUGAUCAUGUCGAGAUAUAUUUGAGAUAUUAAGAUCUGUGGAUGAUACAAAAUGUCUAUACUGUGCCAAAAGGACACAUGUUAAAGGUUUCAUGGUAGCUACGCUAAUCAUGAGGUUUAGAUAUUGUUGAUCCACCAUGGAAGAGGAUUACAUUGGUUAAAGUCACAUUCAUUUCUUCACAAAUUUUCCCUAUACGAGGCAAUGAUGUUAUCAGGCCAUUCUCAUCAAUUCAUCUUGGUAGUCACGAAGGGGGUGAGGGUCACUUCAUGUGUCAAUAAUUACAAGAUUAAUAGUCGUCAAAUUUUAAAUUUCAAAAAAAAAAAAAGAAAAAGAGAAGCGGUUGCUGACAAGUAAUGUCAAAAAGGAUUAUCUUCAAAUACAUUUGCACAAUGUCAAAAGUUUGCAAUUUGUUCAAGGAUCAGACACCAUAUUACAGUGCAAUAAAGGCAUCCAAAAAGAAAGACAAAAAGUUCAAAAAUAUAAAAAAAUGAAAAAAAAAGGAAAAGCAAACAAUAGAACAAAAGCCAUAGUGAAAAAUGACCGAGUCUUGUAAAUAUUGGCAUAAAGAAGUUAUCAUUUACCCUCUAUAUUUGUCAAACGUCUGCCAAAACCUUCGCCGGGGUAAUACAUUGUUCGAUGGAUUUUGAAAGAAAGAUUUCUUUUGGGCAAGUCUUAGCUGAAGUUGGAUUAGGCAGAAUAGAUUUAACCCCGAUAUGAUCAGUUGAAUUUGAAGAAAGGAGAUUCAAAGCCAUAUGACAUGGCCCAAUGUACCAGAAAUGAAUGAUGCAAGCUUACAUCGGAAAGGUUCUUCCUAGAGGAUUCCAUGAGGGAGACCUGGCAUUGAAAAGUUUCUUUUUACAUAAAAGGACUUCGAAGGAAAGUGAAAGGCCACAGCAAAAACCCUCAAAUGAUACUCUGAGAUCUUCAAAAAAUAAUAAAAUAAAAAAAUAAAAAAAAUAAAUAAAGAAAAGGAGAGGCCAAAGCGAAAACCCGCAAAGGGGGAUUUGAGUUGAAAACCCGAAAGGGCGGCUUAAAUUUGGAUCAAAGUGAGGCAUACAGUAGUCUUGCUAUAUCUGAAUUAACAAUAAAGAAGUAUGCUACAUAUUGGGGCAUCGACAAAGUGUCGCGGAUCCCCUAAACACAUAUUGAUAUCAGAAAUUUCCUCAAGAAGUUAGUACAGAGAAGCUCAAGCUGCGAUAUUUGGGGCACCUAGUUUCCAUUUUGCUCAUUUUGAAUUUGUUAUCUUUGAUUGCCUUAUUCUUUUCAAGAUAAAUCCCAAUAAAUUUCCUUCUUAUUGCAUCGUUAUCUUUGAUUAACCCAUUCAUGUUGAGUUAGUUGCCUUCUUGUUGCAUUUGCAAUCUUUGAUUAACUUAUUUGCUUCGAGCUGUGCUCUUACCCAAUUUCCUUCUUGUCCAUUAUUUUGAUCUUUUUCGAGCAUGUUGCAUUGAAAUAAAGAUUAAUGGACUAAUAAUAAUUUCAUAAAAGAAGUCUUGCAUAUUACUCGAGAGGCUUCUAAAUAGUACAAGAACCUGAAACAAGACUGUUGUUGAGAACCCACCAAACCUAAGGGAUGGAAAUGUUUGAGAAGGAGGAGUCUAAAUUAUGGCUAUCUUUUCGAAUUUUCUAUCAAAGGUAUCGGUUGAAUGAAGAGGCAAGAUAUUUCAUCGGUGAUACAACCUUGACAAAUGACGAGCAAUGUCAACCCAAGUGUAAAAGGGGGAUCGUUAUCAGGAAAAAAAAACGAUAUUCCGCAUUCACAUGAAUAUCAGACAUGCACACAGGGUCAUUACACCCGAAGGAUGAUCAAAUUGAUCCUAUACCCUGAGUUACAGUGGGUUGGAUAAGCAAAAACUCAAUAAAAUUUCAGUAGGGCAAGCUUGCCGAGCAGAUUGAAAGUGUUUCUUUGGGUUUUCUGUCAAGAAUACCAGCUGAAUAAGGUGGCCGCGUAAUACGUCAGUGAUAAUGUCCUGAUGAACGAGCAAUGAUACCUAGGUCUUUUUCAUUUCCAUAUCAUUCAUAACACAUCUAGUUAAAAGCAUUCGAUUCAUUUCAAUCAUAGCAUUCCAAUUAUUUGACACAAACAUCACAUCUAGUUAGGAACAAUUGAUUCAUGUUGAUCAUAGCAUCCUAAUUAUUCGGCAUAAGCAUGGGCCUAUGAGGCUAAAAUUUUAGAUAUUGUUUCCCUGAAAUUGAAGUGAAGCAGAUCGAAGACGGCGAAUCUUAGCUUCCUAAAGUUGCAGUGAAGCAGAUUUAAGCCACCAACCUAGCUCCCUAAAUUUGUAGUGGAGUAGGCUAAAAUUUCAGAUCUUGUUUCCCUGAAGUUGCAGUGAAGCAGAUCGAAGACAACGAAUCUGAGCUUCCUAAAGUUGCAGUGAAGCAGAUUUAAGCCACCAACCUAGCUCCCUAAAGUUGUAGAGGAGUAGGCUAAAAUUUCAGAUCUUGUUUCCCUGAAGUUGCAGUGAAGCAGAUCGAAGACGGCGAAUCUGAGCUUCCUGAAGUUACAGUGAAGCAGAUUUAAGCCACCAACCUAGCUCCCUAAAGUUGUAGUGGAGGAGGCUAAAAUUUUAGAUCUUGUUUCCCUGAAGUUGCAAUGAAGCAGAUCGAAGACGGUGAAUCUGAGCUUCUUGAAGUUGCAGUGAAGCAGAUUUAAGCCACCAACCUAGCUUCCUAAAGUUGUAGUGGAGUAGGCUAAAAUUUUAGAUCUUGUUUCCCUAAAGUUACAGUGAAGCAGAUCGAAGACGGCGAAUCUGAGCUUCCUGAAGUUGCAGUGAAGCAGAUUUAAGCCACCAACCUAGCUCCCUAAAGUUGUAGUGGAGUAGGCUAAAAUUUCAGAUCUCGUUUCCCUAAAGUUGCAGUGAAGCAGAUCGAAGACGGCGAAUCUGAGCUUCCUGAAGUUGCAGUGAAGCAGAUUUAAGCCACCAACCUAGCUCCCUAAAGUUGUAGUGGAGUAGGCUAAAAUUUCAGAUCUUGUUUCCCUGAAGUUGCAGUGAAACAGAUCGAAGAUGGUGAAUCUGAGCUUCCUGAAGUUACAGUGAAGCAGAUUUAAGCCACCAUCCUAGCUCCCUAAGGUUGUAGUGGAAUAGGCUGAAGAUUAUAGAUCUUGUUUCCCUGAGAUUGCAGUGGGGCAGAUCGAAGACGGCGAAUCUAGGCUUCCUGAUGUUGCAGUGAAGUAGAUUUAAGCAAGUCCUAGCUCUCUAAAGUUGUAGUGGAGUAGGCUGAAUAUUGUAGAUCUCGCCUCCCUAAAGUUGCAGUGAGGCAAAUCAAAGACGAUAAAUCUUGGCUUCCUGAAGAUGCGGCGAAGCAGAUUUAAGCAUCCUAGCUCCCUAAGGUUGUAGUGGAGUAGGCUGAAGAUUAUAGAUCUUGUUUCCCUGAGAUUGCAGUGGGGCAGAUCGAAGACGGCGAAUCUAGGCUUCCUGAUGUUGCAGUAAAUCAGAUUUAAGCAAGUCCUAGCUCUCUAAAGUUGUAGUGGAGUAGGCUGAGGAUUGUAGAUCUCGUCUCCCUGAAGUUGCAGUGAGACAAAUCAAAGACGAUAAAUCUUGGCUUCCUGAAGAUGCAGCGAAGUAGAUUUAAGCAAGUCCUAGCUCCCUAAAGUUGUAGUGAAGUGGGCUGAAGAUUGUAGGUCUUAUCUUCUCGAAGUCGCGAUAGAACAGAUCAAGUUAAUUACAGAAGAAUAGAUUAAAGCAACAAGCCUCAAGUAGCCGCAGUGGAGUAGAUCAAAGCAACAGUUCUUACACCUUUAGAAAUGCAAUGGGGCCACUUGAAGAAGAGAAGCACCAAAGAAGUAAAGAUCCUACAAGACCAGACAGAUUUGGCUUCUCUGUAAUAGCGGAGAGCAAAUCGAAUAUAGCAGAUUUGGCAUCUCUGUAGUGGCGGAGAGCAAAUCGAAGAUAGCAGAUUUGGCGUCUCUAUAUUGGCGGAGAGCAGAUCAAAAAUAGCAGAUUUGGCGUUUCUGUAUUGGCGGAGAGCAGAUCGAAGAUAGCAGAUUUGGCGUCUCUGUAUUGGCGGAGAGCAGAUCGAAGAUAGCAGAUUUGGCGUCUCUGUGUUGGCGGAGAGCAGAUCGAAGAUAGCGUCUCUGUGUUGGCGGAGAGCAGAUCGAAGAUAGCAGAUUUGGCGUCUUUGUGUUGGCGGAGAGUAGAUCGAAGAUAGCAGAUUUGGCGUCUCUGUAUUGACGGAGAGCAGAUCGAAGAUAGCAGAUUUGGCGUCUCUGUAUUGGCGGAGAGCAGAUCAAAGAUAGUAGAUUUGGCGUCUCUGUAGUGGCGGAGAGCAGAUCGAAGACAACAGAUUUGGCAUUUCUGUAGUGGCGGAGAGCAGAUCGAAGAUAACAGAUUUGCCAUCUCUGUAGUAGCGGAGAGUAGAUUGAAGAUGACAGAUUUGGCAUCUCUGUGUUGACAGAGAGCAGAUCGAAGAUGACAGAUUUGGAGUAUCUAUAUUGACAGAGAGCAGAUUGAAAAUAACAGAUUGGUGUUCCCGAGUUUUCAAGAAGCAAGUGGAAGAUAGCCAAUUGGACACUCCUGAAGACAUCAGAAUACCUUUCCGGAAGAUGAGGAUCAAGAUUUUGAGACUUAGCCAGACCGGGCAAAUUUGGUCCUUUUUAUAGUCUUUACUCCAUUCUCGUUACACGACAAUGAGCAAAGAGGGGCAGCUGCAAGGCCCAAAUUAUGCCCGGGCCCAGACCACAAGAAUAAACCAAGAAAAAACAAAAAUAAUUAACGGCCCAUCUAAUGUCCAUUUAGAGUUCAAAUCAUUACAAUGUCCACAAGUCCACUUACAAUAUUAAACAACCCCAAACCCAGCUGCAUAACCCAAGACCCAAUUAAGAUCCAAUAGCUAAAACCCUAACCCAAAACCCAGACGGCCUAAUAGGCCCAAUGCCUAAAACAAGAGUCAAGGCAGAAAACCCUAGCCCCAUUCGCUCAGCGCCGCAACGACCCCAGCCCCAGCAGCCUCCGUACACAGUACGCCGUACUCCUCCACGCCAAGCUGCGCCAACUGGCCUCCGUACCUGCAAAGAAACAGACAAACACAACAGCAAGGACAAGCAAAAACAAAAAGUAGCAGUAGAGAAAAAUAACAGAAAAUGAAAUUAUUUGUAUUUUUUCUUCUGAUUUUCGGCUAUAUAAAAGCCUUAUUUUCAUAGUAGGUGGAGAGAAUAGAUACUCAUAUUGAAUAGAGAGUUCAAAAGCAAUUUUUUGGGAAGGUGAUUUUCGAUUUAAAUCUCUGUGUAUUUUUUUUGUUUGUUUUUCAUUCUUUUGGGUUCAUAGUUUUAAUGUUUGAAAGAAAAUAAAAAGAGGAGAAAGAAGUUCUUACCUGGAAAAUAUGCCAUAAACCUCCUUUUUGCUUUGUUUGAAUCGAAGCCAAGAAGAGAUUUGAAGGCUGAAAGAUCAUUCCCCAUGCUUGAAUAUGUAGCUUAGUGUUUGAGAGAGGGAGAGAAUCGGCCAAAUGAGGGGAAAGUAUGGGGUAUUAGGUUUUCUGCCUUAAUUGUGGCUUGAAGAAAUGGCAAUUGCCAUUCAAUUUCCUGCCACUUUGAAAUAAAUUGAAACGGUGGUGUUUAAGGGUGGGGGCCACGUGUUGACUUAUGUCAUGACUCAAUUUGUGCAUUUGUAUGCCAAAUGGGAAAUUUCCACGAUUAAUCCCUCGCUUUUUGCACCAAAUUUCAGCAGACCCCAUUGGCACCCAUGUGUUUUAUUUUAAUUUUUCCCCAAAAAUUUGUACACUAUUUCAUUUUAGUUCGCUCCAAGGUGUUGCGUUUCGGGGGGUCCGGAUUAUUUUCAUUUAGUCCCUGCGCAUUCGCACUUGUUACAAGCUGACCCCUUUGUCAUUUUGGCAGUUGUUUCCAUUUAUACUUUGUCCCUCUUGUUUUAAUUCUCUUUUAAUUGAGACCCUCCUCUUUAUUUAUUCAUUUUAUGGCUUAUUAUCAUUUUUUUAAGAUGCAUUCAAUAUUUUUUUUAUCCUUGUUUACUUAUUUUUCUUUAUAUAUUUUAAUGAUUUGAUUUCGUCUUUUUUUUACAUACACUACUGUGUAUACAUAUAUACUUUAUAUUAAAUUCAUUUU